rnacentral:rRNA from 1 species
GACGAACGCUGGCGGCGUGCUUAACACAUGCAAGUCGAACGAUGAAGCCUAGCUUGCUAGGUGGAUUAGUGGCGAACGGGUGAGUAAUACGUGAGUGACCUACCUUUGACUCUGGGAUAAGCCUGGGAAACUGGGUCUAAUACCGGAUACGACCAAUCUCCGCAUGGGGUGUUGGUGGAAAGCGUUAUGGAGUGGUUUUAGAUGGGCUCACGGCCUAUCAGCUUGUUGGUGAGGUAAUGGCUUACCAAGGCGACGACGGGUAGCCGGCCUGAGAGGGUGACCGGCCACACUGGGACUGAGACACGGCCCAGACUCCUGCGGGAGGCAGCGGUGGGGAAUAUUGCACAAUGGGCGCAAGCCUGAUGCAGCGACGCCGCGUGAGGGAUGACGGCCUUCGGGUUGUAAACCUCUGUUAGCAUCGAAGAAGCGAAAGUGACGGUAGGUGCAGAGAAAGCGC